GUAAAUAUAGUUUAAAAAACAUUAGGUUGUGAUCCUAAAAUUAGAAAUAUAAUCUUCUUCUUUACC
rnacentral:tRNA from 1 species